UUCGGACAGUCAGAAUGCCUGAAAUUACAAUUAAAUGAUAGUGAGGAGACAUAAAAUGAUGAAAUACAUGAUAAGAAAAUACAAAAAAAAUUAAGAGAAAAUAAAAGAAAGGAAAUGCAACUAGGUUAAUCAAGUCGAAACCGUAGUGAUGGGUGACCGCACCAGGAAGUUACGGCGAAAAUAAUUGUCGACCCCAGGACCACGAGGAACCCUAGAAAAUAAUUUUCGAGACUUAAUUAAAGGUCUACUGAGGUACAAAUGACAUUAAAAAUGUUAAAGAAAAUUUAGUUAAUCAGUACCGAUGAACACAAAAAUUAAAGGAAUAGGCGGAUCAGAGAUUUAAUCGGUAGUACCGAAAAAGUGGGACUACAACCCGAAGAGGGGUAUUUUGGUCAAUUGACACCUAGAGUUGACUUUUGA
rnacentral:misc_RNA from 1 species